rnacentral:rRNA from 1 species
UUUGAGGUGGACGAGGAGGGUGAGGGAAUUGUCGAGGCGCCGAAAGGAAGAGCGGGCAAUUACUCAACCAACGAUGACAAGUUACUAUGCCAUACUUAUUUGCAAGUGUCGAGGGAUCCAUCCAUUGGAGGUGAUCAAAGUAGAGACGCGUAUUGGGGGCGAAUGAAAGAACACUAUGAUGCUCACAACUUGAGUGGAAUUGACCGCUCCGAGAGAUCACUUCGGUCCCGAUGGUCGACAAUCAACGCGGAUUGUCAAAAGUGGGCGGCCGUACAAAAGGCAGUUGACAAGAUUAACCCAAGUGGCACAAAUGAGGAUGAUCGAGUAAGUGGCAUCUCAUAUAUGUUCAUCAUACUUGUUUUUGGUGACUGA